CUCCGGCCCAUUACCAUGCAGAAUUCAUUCUCGACCUUUUAAAAGUACCCUCUGUUUAGACGGAAUCUCUCAUUUAAGAAUCCGAGACAGAAAUUGAUUCAUUUCCAAUUUAAAUUUGGGGAAGAUAAACGUUAUUAGUUUCCUAAAUAAAAACAAACUAUUUCCAGGCAAUUCUAUAACCGUUUAUCCUCAUACAUAGAUUUUGCACUUCGUCUUAACCUUAUCGAGUGGAAACGAGCAGAGUGAAUUUAGUUCAAACUGAACUCACAUUAAACCAUCGUCUUCAACCUUAAAUAAAAUCAUAUGGUGCAAUAUCUAGUUUUUUUAGAGUAAGGACUCAAUAAUAACGAAUCCAUAUCGAGAUGAAGCCUGGGAAAAAAUGUCCAACGUGGUCGAAAACGUUUAAAUCCGUUAGCGACUUGAGCAGACACGUCGUCACGCACGACCCGGAUGGGAAAGUGAAGUGCGAGGCUUGCGGCAUGAUUUCCAAAAACAGCAUCGCCCUAGCUUCCCAUGUGAGGAGACUCCACACAAAUUCCAAGCGUCCCAGUUGCGACACUUGCCAACGGGUGUUCUGCAGCCUUGCCAGUCUACGGCGGCAUACUGACACCGUCCACAUCUCGAAGGAACGGCCCCGUCUUCCAUGUACGUUUCCCGGCUGCGAGAAAUCUUACCUGAGCAAGGGCGACCUUGUGAGACACGUGAAAACUGACAGGCUUUGAUUAGUUCAAUUUAAUACCGAUCGAUGGAUUAAAUCAUCAUGCUCGUGUCCAAUUUUCUUACAAAUUUAUGUAUGCAUGUAAGCACUUAAUCGGUAUCGCGAUUAUAAACAAACUAUACGAAACCUGCCCA